rnacentral:rRNA from 1 species
GAUGAACGCUAGCGGCAGGCUUAAUACAUGCAAGUCGAGGGACAGCACAGGUAGCAAUACUGGGUGGUAACCGGCAAACGGGUGCGGAACACGUACACAACCUUCCUUUAAGUGGGGGAUAGCCCAGAGAAAUUUGGAUUAAUACCCCGUAAUAUAGUUGAAUGGCAUCAUUUGAUUAUUAUAGCUACGGCGCUUAAUGAUGGGUGUGCGGCUGAUUAGAUAGUUGGCGGGGUAACGGCCCACCAAGUCUACGAUCAGUAGCUGAUGUGAGAGCAUGCUCAGCCAAACGGGCACUGAGACACGGGCCCGACUCCUACGGGAGGCAGCAGUAAGGAAUAUUGGUCAAUGGACGCAAGUCUGAACCAGCCAUGCCGCGUGAAGGAUUAAGGUCCUCUGGAUUGUAAACUUCUUUUAUUUGGGACGAAAAAGGGUCUUUCUAGGUCAACUGACGGUACCAGAUGAAUAAGCACCGGCUAACUCCGUGCCAGCAGCCGCAGUAAAAC